rnacentral:lncRNA from 1 species
CGCCGUUGCCGGAGAUCGGCAAAUUGGUGAAUUUUGGUUUGUUAUUAUUGAUUUAACUUUGUUAGUUCUAGCUUAGUUUUUUUAUUAUUCUUUUUUAGGCCUGUUUCUAGUUUAUAAGUAGAGGUAUUCCCGAAAACGAAGAGUAUUAUUUUGAUCCUGAAAUUGAGAAAACCUUGAGGAGAAGGAGAAAUGAAUUGCGAGAGAUGGCGA